UAUACUUUUAGGAAAUGUUCGGAAGAGAGAACUUACAAUAAUACAACGCCGCAUUCUCCGAAGAUUGAGGAACAAGAAGAGAUCUAUUAAGAG